UAGUGAAAAGCUAUAGACUUGGUGUCUAAGGAUGAAACCAUAAAGGUUAAUCCUACACCGCCCAACCUUGUCAAUAAAUUUAACGUUACCUCGGUAGGUUAGCCUGCCGGUGGACAUUUAAAAACCUUUUUAAACAUACUUGUAAAUAUACUUGUCUGAUAAUUUUUAAAAUAAAAUUA
rnacentral:misc_RNA from 1 species